rnacentral:rRNA from 1 species
GGGUGCAAGCCUGAUCCAGCCAUCCCGCGUGAAGGACGACGGCCCUAUGGGUUGUAAACUUCUUUUGUACAGGGAUAAACCUAGAUACGUGUAUCUAGCUGAAGGUACUGUACGAAUAAGCACCGGCUAACUCCGUGCCAGCAGCCGCGGUAAUACGGAGGGUGCAAGCGUUAUCCGGAUUUAUUGGGUUUAAAGGGUCCGUAGGCGGAUCAGUAAGUCAGUGGUGAAAUCUCAUAGCUUAACUAUGAAACUGCCAUUGAUACUGCUGGUCUUGAGUAAGGUAGAAGUAGCUGGAAUAAGUAGUGUAGCGGUGAAAUGCAUAGAUAUUACUUAGAACACCAAUUGCGAAGGCAGGUUACUAUGUCUUAACUGACGCUGAUGGACGAAAGCGUGGGGAGCGAACAGGAUUAGAUACCCUGGUAGUCCACGCUGUAAACGAUGCUAACUCGUUUUUGGGUUUUCGGAUUCAGAGACUAAGCGAAAGUGAUAAGUUAGCCACCUGGGGAGUACGAACGCAAGUUUGAAACUCAAAGGAAUUGACGGGGGCCCGCACAAGCGGUGGAUUAUGUGGUUUAAUUCGAUGAUACGCGAGGAACCUUACCAAGGCUUAAAUGGGAAUUGAUCGGUUUAGAAAUAGACCUUCCUUCGGGCAAUUUUCAAGGUGCUGCAUGGUUGUCGUCAGCUCGUGCCGUGAGGUGUUAGGUUAAGUCCUGCAACGAGCGCAACCCCUGUCACUAGUUGCCAUCAUUAAGUUGGGGACUCUAGUGAGACUGCCUACGCAAGUAGAGAGGAAGGUGGGGAUGACGUCAAAUCAUCACGGCCCUUACGCCUUGGGCCACACACGUAAUACAAUGGCCGGUACAGAGGGCAGCUACACAGCGAUGUGAUGCAAAUCUCGAAAGCCGGUCUCAGUUCGGAUUGGAGUCUGCAACUCGACUCUAUGAAGCUGGAAUCGCUAGUAAUCGCGCAUCAGCCAUGGCGCGGUGAAUACGUUCCCGGGCCUUGUACACACCGCCCGUCAAGCCAUGGAAGUCUGGGGUACCUGAAGUC